GGAAAUGUAGCUCAGUGGUAGAGCACUUGCCUAGGAUGUGCAAAGCCCUGGGUUCAAUCCCAGUGCUACCC
rnacentral:tRNA from 1 species